rnacentral:ncRNA from 1 species
AAUUAUUGAGGUCGGAAAUGGCUCCCGACGCACCUUUACGGUAUUUGAGAUGUAGGAUACGCCGCCCUACCUAUAAUU